GACGAACGCUGGCGGCGUGCUUAACACAUGCAAGUCGAGCGGUAAGGCCCUUUCGGGGGUACACGAGCGGCGAACGGGUGAGUAACACGUGGGUGACCUGCCCUCAGCUCUGGGAUAAGCCUGGGAAACCGGGUCUAAUACUGGAUAUGACUCCAUGACGCAUGUUGUGGGGUGGAAAGCCUUGUGCGGCUGAGGAUGGGCCCGCGGCCUAUCAGCUUGUUGGUGGGGUGAUGGCCUACCAAGGCGACGACGGGUAGCCGGCCUGAGAGGGCGACCGGCCACACUGGGACUGAGACACGGCCCAGACUCCUACGGGAGGCAGCAGUGGGAAUCUUGCGCAAUGGGCGAAAGCCU
rnacentral:rRNA from 1 species